CACUCUUAUCAUCUUUUCACCUUCAAAAUCCCCUAAAAUAUUUCAAUCAUAUCUUCUAGGGUUUAACAUUCUGUCUCCAUCUUUCCCAUCUACGAUCACAGUCACCGUAAAAAAAAACUCGCAAAGCCUUCAACCGCUGAUGCACAAUUAAUUUUCUGGCCGCCGUUCGCGGCGGCAGUUGACGUUCUAGUCUUCAAAAUCGGUGAGUUUCAGGCCAUCGGAGAUGGCAUAGGCCGGUCGGCGAAGGUAAAGCAGCCGGAGGUCGGAGGAACCGCGUCAUCGCAGCCGGUGAAAAUGCCGGACAGGUCACGGUUGGCGAUUGAGGACAAUCGCCGGGGAAAAUUUUUCUUUCGUUGUUUAUUCUUCUGUUUUAUAUACAGGAAGUUCAUGUAUUUGAGCGGCAGUGACCGCCGGAAUGAUUGAAACCAAAAAAAAAAAAAUCAACAAUUUCGGAAUUUGUUAUGUAAGUGCGAAUCCAAGAAACACAUAUAUUCAAAUUGAACCUGAUGAACCCUUAUAUUGCAUCUAUAUGACCAAUUGAUCCAUACAUCAUGACAGCAUAUUAUGGAAUUUCAAAACGGAAUAACAGGAGAAACAAUUUAUUUAUCGGAAUUGUUAGCGUAA
rnacentral:lncRNA from 1 species